GAUGAAGAACGCAGCGAAAUGCGAUACUUGGUGUGAAUUGCAGAAUCCCGUGAACCAUCGAGUCUUUGAACGCAAGUUGCGCCCGAAGCCACUAGGCCGAGGGCACGCCUGCCUGGGCGUCACACGCCGUUGCCCCCCCAUCUACUCCUUCGGGAUUGCGGGGGGGCGGAUGAUGGCCUCCUGUGCGCCUAGCCGCGCGGUUGGCAUAAAUACCAAGUCCUCGGCGACGCACGCCACGACAAUCGGUGGUUGCGAAACCUCGGUUGCCCGUCGUGUGCGUUCGUCGCGCAUCGAGGGCUCGAAAAAAUGCUCGGCUCCGGCUGGGCUUUCAACGCGACCCCAGGUCAGGCGGGGUUACCCGCUGAAUUUAAGUAUAUCAAUAAGCGGAGGA
rnacentral:misc_RNA from 1 species